UACAGAGGUCCCAAGCGUUGUUCGGAUUUACUGGGCGUAAAGCGCACGUAGGCGGAUUCUUAAGUCAGGGGUGAAAUCCCGAGGCUCAACCUCGGAACUGCCUUUGAUACUGGGGAUCUCGAGUUCGGGAGAGGUGAGUGGAAUUGCGAGUGUAGAGGUGAAAUUCGUAGAUAUUCGCAAGAACACCAGUGGCGAAGGCGGCUCACUGGCCCGAUACUGACGCUGAGGUGCGAAAGCGUGGGGAGCAAACAGG
rnacentral:rRNA from 1 species